UCGCGGCCACACGUCUGCAGGCUCGCAGCGCAUCCCUGCACCACCUAUGCUCCCUCCUCCUCCUUCCCUCGCGCCAUUGCGCCCUCCACGGACCCCCACUACCCCUGCGACCUGGCUCCAUGCACACCACCGGAGAUGAGGACGGCGGCGGCGGCUUCAACGAGAUCUGGCCCUUCUCCUCCUACUCGUUCUCCUCCCCCUCCUCUCCCAUCUGGAUCUAAGGGAUAUGGGGGUGGCUAGGGUUCCGACGAGCUUUUUGGGCUUCGGAUCUCGCCGUGUUGCAGUGGUUUGGGGUUCAGAUCUCGCCGUGUUGCAGUGAUUUCCUUUAAAUGUUGCAGAAGUGUUUCAGUUGAUGUUGCAGUAGUACUGCUUUCAGAUUGCAAUAUGUUUUCAGUUGAUUCAAUCUGCAUGUUUACAGUAGUUGUUGCAACAGUUGUUUGGUAUUGUUGUAAUAUUAUGUUCAUGGUGUUUUAGCAUGAUGUUUCAACUAUUUUUUGUUGUUUUUGUAAUAAUAUGUUCAAGGUGUUUCAACAUCUUCAUCCCAAUGUUGCAGUUGUUGUC